GUAAGAAUAAGCCCCGGCUAAUUACGUCCCAGCAGCCGCGGUAAUACGUAGGGUGCAAGCGUUUUUCGGAAUUACUGGGCGUAAAGCGUGCGCAGGCGGUUAUGUAAGACAGGUGUGAAAUCCCGGGGCUCAACCUGGGAACUGCAUUUGUGACUGCAUCUCUGGAGUGCGGCAGAGGGGGAUGGAAUUCCGCGUGUAGCAGUGAAAUGCGUAGAUAUGCGGAGGAACACCGAUGGCGAAGGCAAUCCCCUGGCCCUACACUGACGCUCAUGCACGAAACGCGUGGGGAGCAAACAGGAUUAGAUCCCCUGGUAGUCCACGCCCUAAACGAUGUCAAUCUGGUUGUUG
rnacentral:rRNA from 1 species